GUCUGUGUCCAUAACACCCUGAACACACCUGAUCUCAUCUGAUUUCAAAAGCUAAGCACGGUCGGGCCUGGUUAGUACUUGGAUGGAAGAAUACUUCGGUUUUUUUAAACA
rnacentral:rRNA from 1 species